GAGUGAGAUGAUGAAUAAUGAUAAUUACUGUUUUGAGUGCCUAGAUGAUGGCACAAACAUUGUAUUAGCUCUAUCUGAUCACUC
rnacentral:snoRNA from 1 species